GGCCGGAUCCAGAUUGCCACCAGAUAAACCACUGGCACCCGAAGACUGACCCCUUCUGAUCAUCUCAAUGAGCGCUGGGGAUCUUGAAGAGAAAGGCACUCUCUCAGGUAACUGAGACCUGAGCCAUUCAGGGCUUUAAAAGGAAGAACCUCAAGACCCUCCUGUUCUCUCAGGCUUUUAAUUAGAAUUAAUCUUAAUAAUUAAAAAAACCCCACUUGUUUUAAUAAAUUUAUUCUAUUGUUUUUAUUGUCAUGUAUUUUAAUUUGUGACUUUUAAAUAUUUUAAAUUUUGUACACUGCCUAGAGAUAUACAUAUCAGGCGGUAUAAAAAUACGAUAAAUACUUAAAUAAAAUUUUGCUUCCAUAUUGUG